rnacentral:rRNA from 1 species
UCAGUAGCCGGUCUGAGAGGAUGAACGGCCACAUUGGAACUGAGACACGGUCCAAACUCCUACGGGAGGCAGCAGUGGGGAAUAUUGCACAAUGGGGGAAACCCUGAUGCAGCGACGCCGCGUGAACGAAGAAGGUAUUCGUAUCGUAAAGUUCUGUCCUAUGGGAAGAUAAUGACAGUACCAUAGAAGAAAGCUCCGGCUAAAUACGUGCCAGCAGCCGCGGUAAUACGUAUGGAGCGAGCGUUGUCCGGAAUUAUUGGGCGUAAAGGGUACGCAGGCGGUUUAAUAAGUCGAAUGUUAAAGAUCGGGGCUCAACCCCGUAAAGCAUUGGAAACUGAUAAACUUGAGUAGUGGAGAGGAAAGUGG